AUGGAUGGCGGGUGAUUUGGGUGGGUAGACUCGCGGAUCUCGGAGACCUACAUGCAACCAUCAGACCUGAAAGCAGUAGGCCUAGAUGCACGUGACAAGCCUGGAAAGUCGUAUUUCCUUCCAUUUUGUAUCAUGUGUCCUUCAUUAUCAUCAGACAAAAGUACCAAAUCAUCCAAAAGUAUGAAAGGGAUUGAGGAUGUAUCAGACAUACAAUCUUGCUUUUACAUGUAGAUUAACUGUGGAUCAGUAUCGAUCAGCUGAAUUGCU